ACCUGACUGGCUCAGUCAGCAGAGCAUGAGACUCUUAAUCUCGGGGUCAUGAGUCCAAGCCCCAUGCUGGGUG
rnacentral:tRNA from 1 species